rfam:Camelus ferus unplaced genomic scaffold scaffold1299, whole genome shotgun sequence.
GAGGGUAUAGCUCAAAUGGUAGAGCACCUGCUUAGCAUGAACUAGGUCCUGGGUUCAAUCCCCAGUACCUCCA